GGCUUUGAAACCCGGGGCCGGAUCUUCUGAGUCGUACGGGGGGCUUCCGGCUCGAUAAAGUUGUUUUCUUCUCUUUCCUCUGGUGCAAGUGAGCUCCCAGAUUCUGUCCAAUCUGUGGCAGUAAACCCGCAGGACCGUGCUCCCACAGACAGGUCUCGGCCCACUCCUCCGCCGUGCGCUCCAGCUCGGUGUCCCAUUCCUGAACAAGCUCCACAUUCCCCAACUGGACAGACUCAACCUCCUCCUCAUGUAAAGAAAGGCCAGGCAACCGGAAGCACAGCCGAGAUCAGGAUGUUGUUGACGUGGCCCAGGACUCUCCUGAAGGCGGGGCGCUCCAGCACACGCUCGUAGUAGG